GGCUGCUUGGCCAAAGUGCAGGGAGCUUGAGGAGAGACCUACAAGCGAGCAAGGGGAGAAACCUCUGCACAUUCCCAUUUGCUGGCUUUACAGAUGAGCUCUGAAAUGGUCCUGGAAGUGUGAAUGGCAGAUGAUUAUAAGCUCAGCCAUAGAUUAGAGAGGUUAUGGAGACUGUAGGAAAUAGAUGUAAACCCAGUGAUGUAUGAAAAUGGCAUCGUCGUGGUUUGAAAUGCCUCCCUAAGGUCAACUGUCAGCCCCCAGAGCCAGAAUUCAUGGAUCGAGCAUUUUACUACACAGCUGAUGUGAAACAACCAAAAGCUGAAAUCCAGCCAUAGCUGGAAGAGCUGCUUCACUUCUGAAAACACUAUACUGUGGAUCUGGGUCCAUCAUCAGGCUUUAUCUGAUCUCCAUCUGGACACAAAUAU